rnacentral:sRNA from 1 species
CUGAAGCAGAUCGGAUUUCUC